GAUGAACGCUGGCGGCGUGCCUAAUACAUGCAAGUCGAGCGAACAGACGAGGAGCUUGCUCCUCUGACGUUAGCGGCGGACGGGUGAGUAACACGUGGUUAACCUACCUAUAAGACUGGGAUAACUUCGGGAAACCGGAGCUAAUACCGGAUAACAUGUUGAACCGCAUGGUUCCACAGUGAAAGACGGUCUUGCUGUCACUUAUAGAUGGAUCCGCGCCGCAUUAGCUAGUUGGUAAGGUAACGGCUUACCAAGGCAACGAUGCGUAGCCGACCUGAGAGGGUGAUCGGCCACACUGGAACUGAGACACGGUCCAGACUCCUACGGGAGGCAGCAGUAGGGAAUCUUCCGCAAUGGGCGAAAGCCUGACGGAGCAACGCCGCGUGAGUGAUGAAGGUCUUCGGAUCGUAAAACUCUGUUAUUAGGGAAGAACAAAUGUGUAAGUAACUAGGCACGUCUUGACGGUACCUAAUCAGAAAGCCACGGCUAACUACGUG
rnacentral:rRNA from 1 species